rnacentral:rRNA from 1 species
UACGUAGGUGGCAAGCGUUGUCCGGAAUUAUUGGGCGUAAAGCGCGCGCAGGCGGUUCUUUAAGUCUGAUGUGAAAGCCCACGGCUCAACCGUGGAGGGUCAUUGGAAACUGGAGAACUUGAGUACAGAAGAGGAAAGCGGAAUUCCACGUGUAGCGGUGAAAUGCGUAGAGAUGUGGAGGAACACCAGUGGCGAAGGCGGCUUUCUGGUCUGUAACUGACGCUGAGGCGCGAAAGCGUGGGGGAGCAAACAGG